rnacentral:rRNA from 1 species
CCUACGGGAGGCAGCAGUGAGGAAUAUUGGUCAAUGGACGCGAGUCUGAACCAGCCAAGUAGCGUGAAGGAUGACUGCCCUAUGGGUUGUAAACUUCUUUUAUACAGGAAUAAAACGAGGCACGUGUGCCUUUUUGCAUGUACCUUAUGAAUAAGGAUCGGCUAACUCCGUGCCAGCAGCCGCGGUAAUACGGAGGAUCCGAGCGUUAUCCGGAUUUAUUGGGUUUAAAGGGUGCGCAGGCGGAGGCGAAAGUCAGCGGUAAAAUGGCGGGGCUCAACCCCGCGCCGCCGUUGAAACUGGGUCCCUUGAGUGGGCGAGGGGUAGGCGGAAGGCGUGGUGUAGCGGUGAAAUGCAUAGAUAUCACGCAGAACUCCGAUUGCGAAGGCAGCCUACCGGCGUGCAACUGACGCUGAGGCACGAAAGCGUGGGUAUCGAACAGGAUUAGAUACCCUUGUAGUC